AGACCGAUGCGCGAUUUCCGGCCUCUCGUUGCGGUUAACGCACGCUUCGGGGCUAAAGGUCGGCGCGCUCCGCUUUGGUGACUCUGGAUAACUCACUGGUCGAUCGCACGGGCUUCCACGCCCGGCGACGGGUCCCCCGAGGGUCCGCCCUAUCAA
rnacentral:rRNA from 1 species